rnacentral:lncRNA from 1 species
CAAAGACAAAGCCAGUUUCACGGUCAAUGCCUGCUAUUAUAUUAAAACCUUCGUCUCUCAUGUUUUGAUCUAUCUGUGGACCAGCAUUUCUUUCUCUGAAAUUUAUGCCUUCCAUGUGUCGUUGCAUUGCCUCCUGUAUUACUUCAUAGAGUGGCUGAUCCACACUGCCUGCAGGCUGAGGAGCAGAAUCAUCUCUUGGGUACAUCCUAGAAACAGGACACCUAAGAAUGUCUAAUCCAUUUGGAACAAUCUUACAGUAGUCCUGGAUACACUGAAGCCACCACCACACAGCAUCACGACAAUUAUAUCUGGCAUGCGUUCCCUGGCCAAGCAGGUUGGGAAUGAGACCAUGUCGUAGAGUCCCACCAAACGCUAGAAUUAUGUUUCUUGCUUCUAUAUAACGUCCCGUAAGUAACAUUAGGCCUCUAAGUGCAAUAAAGGUAUCCCUUCCCCAGGAACGGAAUAUUCCAGAAGAGAAGUGAGGUAAACCAGCUGCUAAAGUAACACAGCACUGUUCUUUCUCAUGCGUAAUCUCAUUCAGCCUAUAGGGAACAUCGUGUAAGGAAGGAGACAGAUCUGGCAGACACGCAUAUUUUCCUAUCCCACACAUCUGGAUUGAGCCCAAGGAAAGGUGUUUAACAAAUGUUGAUCCAUUCUGAACAAAGCUAGACAUCUGAUGCCAUCCCACAUCCAGAAGAGUUGUGUAUGCACCCACUAAAAUGGCAUCAAAGUAACAAGGAAUAAGGUAACGUGGAAUUUUCUUUAAAUACACAAACAUGGCCUUCAACCAUUUGCCAACUUCUGCACAGGCUCCUGCACGUGAAAUCAGACGAUUACUGACAUAAUCAAUCAUCCAGUCUCCAGAUCUUAAAUUAUCACAGAACGGAUGUCCCAAAUCAUUCUUUGGUCUAAUGUCUGCCAUCACUGACAUUAACCCUUGGAGGCCUGCAUACUUCAGGGAUGACCAGUUUGGUAUAUUGUAACAACCUCCACCAUCUUCUU